rnacentral:snoRNA from 1 species
AAGACUACACUUUCAGGAAUCAUUUCUAUAGUUUGUUACUAAAAGAGAGAAAGUUGUUAAAUGUUUUAGAGCCAUAGAAGUACAAAGGU